rnacentral:rRNA from 1 species
AGAGUUUGAUCCUGGCUCAGGGUGAACGCUAGCGGCGUGCCUUAAGCAUGCAAGUAGAGCGGGCCAUCGCAAGAUGGUCAGCUGCGAACGGCUGAGUAACGCGUAAGUACUUACCUCUUGGUGGGGAAUACCCCCGCGAAAGCGGGGCUAAUACCGCAUAAGUUCUACGGAAGAAAGCACGUAACUGUGCACCGAGAGAGAGACUUGCGUACCAUCAGCUUGUUGGUGGGGUAACGGCCUACCAAGGCUAUGACGGUUAGGGGGCGUGAGAGCGUGACCCCCCAGAAUGGCACUGAGACACGGGCCAUACACCUACGGGUGGCAGCAACUGGGAAUCGUGCGCAAUGGGCGAAAGCCUGACGCCGCGACGCCGCGUGAGGGAUUAAGGUCUUCGGAUCGUAAACCUCUUUUGACUAGAUAGAGAUAUCUAGUAGAAUAAGCACCCGCUAACUACGUGCCAGCAGCUGCGGUAAUACGUAGGGUGCAAGCGUUGCCCGGAUUUAUUGGGCGUAAAGAGUUUCGUAGGCGUUUUUCUAAGUUGUGCUUCAAAGACCGAGGCUUAACCUCGGAAAGGGGUGCAAUACUGGAAGAAUUGAAGAAUCUAGGGGUUACUGGAACUCAUCGUGUAGGGGUGAAAUCCGUUGAUAUGAUGAGGAACACCAAGGGCGAAGGCAAGUAACUAGAGAUUAUUUGACGCUGAGGUACGAAAGCUAGGGGAGCGAAAGGGAUUAGAGACCCCCUGUAGUCCUAGCCGUAAACUAUGCUCGCUAGGGAUUGUCGCUUAGGCGACAGUCCCGUAAGCUAACGCGUUAAGCGAGCCGCCUGGGGAGUACGAGCGCAAGCUUAAAACUCAAAGGAAUUGACGGGGACCCGCACAACCAGUGGAGCAUGUGGUUUAAUUCGAGACGAACCGAAGAACCUUACCUGGACUUGACAUGCUAUCGUUUUAGAUUUUCAGAAAUGAAGAUUGAUCCCGCUUUGCGGGAUGAUAGCACAGGUGUUGCAUGGCUGUCGUCAGCUCGUGCCGUGGGGUGUUCCCUUCAGUGGGGUAACGAGCGUAACCCCUGCCGUAUGUUGAAUAUUCAUACGGGACUUUCGUCCUUUGGACGAAGGAGGUGGGGACGACGUCAAGUCAGCAUGGCCCUUAUGUCCAGGGCGACACACAUGCUACAAUGGAGCCGACAAUGGGUUGCCAAGAGGUAACUCGGAGCUAAUCCCAUCAAACGGCUUCUAAGUGGGGAUUGAGGGCUGCAACUCGCCCUCAUGAACGCGGAAUUGGUAGUAAUCGCGGAUCAGCUAUGCCGCGGUGAAUACGUUCUCGGGUCUUGUACACACCGCCCGUCAAGUUAGUGAAGUUGGGGGCACCCGAACACCGUAUGUUACGGGGGAAGGUGAAACCAGCGACAAGAAUUAAGUCGUAACAAGGUAACC